UAGGUGAACCUGCGGAGGAUCAUUGUCGAGACCCAGAGAAGGAAGACCGCGAACCCGUGAACGGAAUCUAUCUAUACCCGGGCGGGGGGGCGGGCCCCCCCUCCCGGACCCCGUCCGGCGGGGCCACCGGACCGCCGGGACGGGGAGAACGAACGAACCCCGGCGCGGCGUGCGCCAAGGAAUAUCUAUCAGACGACGGAAGUCGCGGCCCGCCCCCGGGCGGCGUCGCGACGGUCCGAACACUUACCACGACGACUCUCGGCAACGGAUAUCUUGGCUCUCGCAUCGAUGAAGAACGUAGCGAAAUGCGAUACUUGGUGUGAAUUGCAGAAUCCCGUGAACCAUCGAGUCUUUGAACGCAAGUUGCGCCCGAGGCCAUCCGGCCGAGGGCACGCCUGCCUGGGCGUCACGCCUCGCGUCGCUCCGCCCGCCCCUUUAUUCGGGGGCGCUGGCGGACGCGGAGAUUGGCCAGCCGCGCGACCUGUCGAACAGGCGCGCGCGGCGGGCUGAAGAACACGGGCCGCCGGCGGGGCCGAAGCUGGCGAGUGGUGGACUGACGCGCCCAGCGCGCGCCGACGAGCCGAACGCCGCAGACGCCCCUGCCGGGACUGCCGCGCCCGCACAAUAAGGACCCCGUACGGGCGCCGCGCAAGCGCGCGCCUCGCAACGCGACCC
rnacentral:rRNA from 1 species